UUUUUGAAGAGUUUGAUCCUGGCUCAGGACGAACGCUGGCGGUGCGCUUAAUGCAUGCAAGUCGAACGAACCUAUCCGCUUCGGCGGGGACGGAGAGUGGCAAACGGCUGAGUAACACGUAAGUGACCAACCCCGGAGCGGGGGACAAGCCGGAGAAAUCCGGUCUAAUACCCCAUACGUUCCAUCAGUUACGGUUGAUGGAAGAAAGAUUUAUCACUCUGGGACGGGCUUGCGGCCUAUCAGAUAGUUGGUGGGGUAAUGGCCUACCAAGUCUAAGACGGGUAUCCGGUGUGAGAGCACGAACGGGCAGAGGGGGACUGAGACACGGCCCCCACUCCUACGGGAGGCAGCAGCAGGGAAUCUUGCGCAAUGGGCGAAAGCCUGACGCAGCGACACCGCGUGAAGGAAGAAUGCCUUAGGGUUGUAAACUUCUUUUGUUGGGGAAGAGAUAGGACGGUACCCAACGAAUAAGCCCCGGCUAACUACGUGCCAGCAGCCGCGGUAAUACGUAGGGGGCGAGCGUUGUCCGGAUUUAUUGGGCGUAAAGGGCGAGUAGGCGGCAUGCCAAGUCCCGUGUAAAAUCUCCUGGCUUAACUAGGAGCGGUCAUGGGAAACUGGCAAGCUUGAGGACAUCAGAGGAGAGCGGAAUUCCCGGAGUAGUGGUGAAAUGCGUAGAUACCGGGAGGAACACCAGAGGCGAAAGCGGCUCUCUGGGAUGAACCUGACGCUGAGGCGCGAAAGCAUGGGUAGCAAACCGGAUUAGAUACCCGGGUAGUCCAUGCCCUAAACGAUGAAUACUAGACCUAGGGGGUAUCGACCCUCUCUGGGUCGUAGCUAACGCGAUAAGUAUUCCGCCUGGGGAGUACGGCCGCAAGGCUAAAACUCAAAGGAAUUGACGGGGGCCCGCACAAGCAGCGGAGCGUGUGGUUUAAUUCGAUGCUAA
rnacentral:rRNA from 1 species